GCGUUUCUGAGUGUUGCAGACGGUAAGUUCUGGUCUCAACAGAGAAGGUUAGCAUGGCCACUUAUCAAGGAUGACAUGCAAAUUUGUGAAGCAUUCCAUUUUUUU